CACAUCGUAUGUAUUUGGUUAUAAGUAAUAUACCCAAUCAAAACUUAUUAUCCAAAUCAAGUAAAUCAAACUGAUUAAAACAACUUUUUGAAGUGAUAGCAGGGGCGAAUGUAGGGGGUGGGGGUUCAACCCUACCCCUCUCAGCAAAUCCUUUGAUGGAACAUUGGGGGUAAAAUACCACAUGAUUUUUGGCAAGGGGAAAUGUGUUAUUUCUGAGAGAGAGAGAGAGAGAGAGAGAGAGAGAGAGAGAGAGAGAGAGAGAAUAACGUGGUAGGCUUGUAGGUGGUGAAGUAGAAGAGGCUGGACACUGGAGUAUGGAGGAAUCAUCUAAAAUUUUUAAGGAAUGAGAGUCUGAACACCAGUGAGGAAGCUAAGUACUGUAUUAAGUAUGGGUAUGGGAUCAGGUAUAGAAAGUGAGUUUGUGUACAGAAAGAGAUUGAGAGAGCAAAAGUA